AGCAGGUUGCCGAGCGAGGACGGUUCCGUCAUCAGCAACGAAUCAGAGAAGCUCAACUCUGGUCGGGGCUCGGCGGCUCAGAAAGUCACAGCACAGCAGAAAUUGACAAAGGAGGAGACACGCAAGAAGAACGAUCCCUACGACACCUCGUUUGGUUCCCUGCAGCUUAUUUCCAUAAAGCCCAUGACUGCUCCGCCCACCUAUUCACACCCCGCCUCCUCUGACCGCAGCCAAGACUCAGCCAUCCUCAAUGGAAAUGGAGAGGUGAACCUAGCUCUGAAGCAGAAGUCCGACAUAGAGCACUACAGGAACAAGCUGAGGCUGAAGGCCAAGAGGAAAGGGUACUAUGACUUCCCCUCAGCGGACGGCAGCGGGAG